UGCCGAGUUGUGUAGUGGUAGCACAGAGGACUUUGAAUCCUCUAGCCCUGGUUCGAAUCCAGGCUCGGCAGCCA
rnacentral:tRNA from 1 species